UGUUUCGGCAAGGGGGUCAUCCCGACUUACCAACCCGAUGCAAACUGCGAAUACCGGAGAAUGUUAUCACGGGAGACACACGGCGGGUGCUAACGUCCGUCGUGAAGAGGGAAACAACCCAGACCGCCAGCUAAGGUCCCAAAGUCAUGGUUAAGUGGGAAACGAUGUGGGAAGGCCCAGACAGCCAGGAUGUUGGCUUAGAAGCAGCCAUCAUUUAAAGAAAGCGUAAUAGCUCACUGGUCGAGUCGGCCUGCGCGGAAGAUGUAACGGGGCUAAACCAUGCACCGAAGCUGCGGCAGCGACA
rnacentral:rRNA from 1 species